UUUUUUUUUUAUUUUUUGAAGUUCAAAUGACCUACACCUUGUGUUCAUUCAGGUUAUACAACAGAGUGAUUUCAUUCUAUACAUUUCAAAAUGAUCACCCCAACAAUCUAGUUAACCAUGGGAGGGGGGGCAUACAAAGCUAUUACAUAAUUAUCAACUGUAUUCCCCACACUGCACAUUUCAUAACUGGGACUCACUUGUUUUGCAACUGAAAGUUUGUACCUCAGUCCCUCUCAUCUGUUUCUGUCUCCUCCAUACAUCCCUUUCAUUUAUAAUCUAACUUCUGUUGACGCAAACAUACACAGUAACCGUGUUCUUUGCAUUUGUAAGAGCUAGAAACAUGCUAACACGCGCCUAUCGAUGCUGCUUAUUUUGGUGCUUUUUCUUCUUCCUCCAACACAGAAGAAUUUAAGGUCAAUCUGUUAGAGCUAACUUUCAAGAAAUGACAUUAGAGAAUUGUGUCCUAGUUAAGCAAUUGGGGUCUGACGACUAACAGAUUUGACAAUUGCAAGCAGGAACAAUGUCAAGCACAAAAAUGCCAAAGAACAUUAAACCUGUGACCCUUUGUUUUAAUUUCAAAGAAACAAUUUCAAGCCCCUUCAAUCACUUGGUCAGGACGCACGUCCGCAGAAACAUCUCCAUGUCUCAUGUUUCCAUCCCACGUGGCAGCUGACAGUUGGCACACUUGGCACCUGGACUGGUUUGGCAUUCCAUCAGUCCUAUCCUGGAAGUAAGCUUUCGUUCCACAGAGGAAUUUUUUUUCAACCCACAAGGCAGAAAAAGCUUAAAAUGUCAUUAAGUGAUUUCACAAAUUAUCUUAAAGAUUGUUAGGACCUAAGGCUGCAAAGAGGUUUGGGCCUGGGAAUUACCCUGGGCCCUGAGGCACCUAUAAAUAAUAGGAACUCAACGGGUAGGUGUGCUAUGAUAGUUAUGAGUAGGAUUGGGUAAUAAAAACAAAGGUUUCCAAAAGUUAAGGGAUAUUCUUCAUCUUGCUUUAUAUAGUUCACCAGGCUGUUGAACUUGAAAUGGCCUCAUCAGGCACUGGUGAGCUCUCCAGACCUCUGUAAAUUCCCUCAGGGGAGAAGGUCUUUUGGCUUUGUUAUCAAUUGUGAGCCACAAGGGGAUUCCUCCCCCUCUUGGCCCUGGCUUCCCAGAAAAGAGGCUGGGGACCUGAGGUUUUGGGGCUUUUCUCUCUUUUAGAGGAGAAACCAGUUUUCAUCUGAUGUCUGAGAGGGGAAAAGAAAAGAUACAGCUUAGGACACAAGGGGAAGGCAGUUGGUUUGUGUUUGGCAUUUCCAGCCUCCCUUUUUGGCUUUCUCCCUUGUCCCAACUCCUUUCCUUUCCCAUAAUCCACAGCCCUUCAAAACUCUACUGCCGUUUUGGAGUUCUUGUGUCGCUGCGCAGUGGUUAACAAAUCCGACUAGGAACCAUGAGGUUGCGGGUUCGAUCCCUGGCCUUGCUCAGUGGGUUAAGGAUCCGGUGUUGCAGUGAGCUGUGGUAUAGGUCACAGACUCGGCUCGGAUACCGUGUUGCUGUGGCUCUGGUAUAGGCCAGCAAGUACAGCUCUGAUUAGACCCCUAGCCUGGGAACCUCCAUACGCUGCAGAAGCGGCCCUAGAAAAGGCAAAAAGACAAAAAACAAACAAACAAACAAACAAAAAAAAACAAAAAAAAACCCCAAACCUCUGAGUUUGUUUUUUCCUCUCUCUCUUUCAUUUUUGGCCACCCCACAGCAUAUUCCACUCCUGGGCCAGGGAUCAGAUCCAAGCCUCAGUCGUGACCUAAGCUGCACUUGCAGCAAUGCCGGAUCCUUAACCCACUGUGGCGGGCCAGGGAUCGAACCCACAACCCGGAGCCCCUAAGACGCCACCAAUCCAGUCGCACCACAGUGAAAACUCCAAAACGUAGGGUGUUAAAGUACAGAUUCUUCUGCUCUUCCAUCUCUGCUGGAAAUUCCCAUAAUUUCUCCAUUAGAUGUUAGAAGACAAAUGAGAUUGGAGGAAAGGAUUCCCUUACUCUUCCUGUGGUGUUAGGUGACUUAGCAACUGAUGCAAAGAGUCCAGGGCCCUAAAGAAUUCCAGAUGGGGGAGGGGCAGGAGUUUUUAAUCAUUCAUUCAGUCUAUUAUUUCUUGGGUGUUUCCUAUGUGCCAGGCUCUGUUUUGGGUGAAGGAGACUCCUGAAAUUUUAGGGACUGGAGAAGUUUAGAAAGCUUAGAGAUACUAGGUACCAAGUAUACAACGGUAAACUCAAGAGAUAGGUCUCAAAUUUCUGGGAACUUACAUUUUAAAGUGAGGAGAGAAGUUCCCUUUGUGGCGCAGCAGAAACUAAUCCGACUAGUAUCCAUGAGGCUGGGUUCAGUCCCUGGCCUCACUCAUGGGUUGAGGAUCCGGCAUUGCCGUGAGCUGUGGAGUAGGUUGCAGACGUGGCUCGGAUCCCAAGUUGCUAUGGCUCUGGUGCAGGCCGGCAGCUACAGCUCCGAAUGGACCCCUAGCCUGGGAACCUCUAUAUGCCGUGGAUCGGCCCUAGCAAAGGCAAAAAGACAAAAACAAACCAAAAAAACCCAAAAACCCUAAAAUGACUUUCUGAAACAAAUCAAAAUUUCCAACAAUGGAGAGGUGAGAGAAUGAAACCCAGCUUGCUCACAAUUAUUAUAGCGGUGGUGCGUGGAAGUGUCACGGCACAGGGAUGGUGAUCUGGAAGAGGCAAGGGAGAAAGCUAAGCUCUGCUAUCACACGGUCACAGCCAGCAUGGACACCAAACUGAACCGAAGAAAGUGAUGGAUAAUGACGCAGCAUUGCGAGCUGUGAAUUGACUCCGUUUAUAAGUAAAGAUGUAGAAUUAGCGAUGAGUGUGGAAGAGAAGAGAGAAACAUUAGUACAAACGUCUUGGGACAAGAAUGCUAUGAAGCACAUGAGGUUGAGGAUGAAAUCCUAACUUACUAUAUAUAACCCUAGGUGAUAAGCUGUAGUGGGUUCGAUCCAUAAAACCCCUUGGCAGCAUGACAGAAAUUUCAAAUUAGGUACCUCUUGGUACUGCUAUGUGUAAAUAUGAGAACUAGUAAAGCUUACUUGAUUGAAUAUUGAGACAAGAAUCUGCACCCAACAUGAGAAAAAUCAAAGCAGAGACAGCCCAUUAGGAAAUCUUAUCAGACUGUUUCUCCCCAGGUUUAUUCACUUUAAAAAAUUAUUUAGGAGUUCCUGCUGUGGCACAGUGGGCUAAGAAUCUGACUGCAGCAGCUUGGGUUGCUGCAGAGGUACAGGUUCAAUCCCAGCCCAAUGCAGUAGGUUGAAAGACCUGGCGUUGCUGCAGCUGUGGUCACAAGUGCAGCUCAAAUUCAGUCCCUGGGCGGGGAACUUCAUGUGCUACAGGUGCAGCCAUUGGGGGGAAAAAAAAAAUUCCCAUUUAUUCUAGCUACAGCUGCCUUUUUUAUUCCUCCUGGUGUGAAUGUUCCUGUGAUCUGCUGACAAAUGCUCAGCAGAAGAAAAAAAGAAAAAAAAAAAAAAAAAAAAAAAGGUGUUCUCAAAGACUUCAUCCAUCCAGGCGGCUGAUUUACUUCAGAAGAAGAAACUACUAAGUCAUCUUAUUGCUAAAUUUAAGAGAAAUAAAUUGACAAUACCAAGGGGUGGUGGGAAUAGGGAGCAACUGGAAUUUUCAUAUGCUCUUGGUGAGAAUGUACGUUGGGACAAACCCUUUGGAAAACUGGCAGAAUCUACAAAAGCCAAACCCUAUGACUGAGCAAUUCCUCUCUUAGGUUCAACACUCAACAGAAAAGCCAGCAUAAUGUGCACUAAGGGAUAAGGAGACACAUGUUCAUAGCAGCAUUCUGCACGAUAUUCCCUCAGCGAAACAACCCAAAUGUCACCUAUAACAGAGCAAAAUAAAGUCAAUAAAUGAAUGGACUAUAUAGUAAUGAGGAGAAAGGAACUACUGUUACAGGUGAAACAUGGAUGAUUCUUACAAAUGUAUCAUGAGCGACACAUCCAGGCACACAGGGUCUAUAUUGUAUGAUUCUGCUCAUAUGAAGUUCAAAUAUAGGCACAAUUAAUCUGAUGGCAGGAGCCAGAGAGCUUUGGAGGAGAGAGCAAUUGGGAAGGGGCACAGAGAAACUUUCGAGGUGCCAGUAAGGUUCUACACCUUGACCUGGGUGGGGACUGCACCAGUGAGUUCACUUUGUUUAAAAAAAAAAAAAAAA
rnacentral:lncRNA from 1 species